rnacentral:rRNA from 1 species
GACGAACGCUGGCGGCGUGCCUAAUACAUGCAAGUCGAGCGCAGGAAACUGACGGAACUCUUCGGAGGGAAGGCAGUGGAAUGAGCGGCGGACGGGUGAGUAACACGUAAGGAACCUGCCUCAAGGAUUGGGAUAACUCCGAGAAAUCGGAGCCAAUACCGGAUAGUUCAUCGGACCGCAUGGUCCGUUGAUGAAAGGCGCUCCGGCGCCGCCUCGAGAUGGCCUUGCGGUGCAUUAGCUAGUUGGUGAGGUAACGGCCCACCAAGGCGACGAUGCAUAGCCGACCUGAGAGGGUGAUCGGCCACACUGGGACUGAGACACGGCCCAGACUCCUACGGGAGGCAGCAGUAGGGAAUCUUCCACAAUGGACGAAAGUCUGAUGGAGCAACGCCGCGUGAGUGAUGAAGGUUUUCGGAUCGUAAAACUCUGUUGUAAGGGAAGAACACGUACGAGAGGUAAUGCUCGUACCUUGACGGUACCUUACGAGAAAGCCACGGCUAACUACGUGCCAGCCGCCGCCGUAAUAC